rnacentral:rRNA from 1 species
UACGUAGGGUGCGAGCGUUGUCCGGAAUUAUUGGGCGUAAAGAGCUCGUAGGCGGUUUGUCGCGUCUGCCGUGAAAGUCCGGGGCUCAACUCCGGAUCUGCGGUGGGUACGGGCAGACUAGAGUGAUGUAGGGGGAGACUGGAAUUCCUGGUGUAGCGGUGAAAUGCGCAGAUAUCAGGAGGAACACCGGUGGCGAAGGCGGGUCUCUGGGCAGUAACUGACGCUGAGGAGCGAAAGCGUGGGGGAGCGAACAGG